UGGGACCAGCUGGUUCCACAUCUGCACAGUUCUACCCCUCUACCCUUCCUACCCGUCUGGAUGAAUGCGGUUCUUUAACUGCUUGGUUGUUGGUCUUCAAUACAGCUCGAUUUCCUAAUGGGUCUGAGUGCUGCAUGUUCUGUAGUUUAGCUGUAAUUUCGAUGUGGUUGUGUGAGGCGGCGAGAGUUUACCUACCCCUCCAUCUUGACUGGAAAUCCUCAGUACCAGUACAUUGUACAAAGAAACAGAACUUCAGACAAAUAAAAAUUUUGAAUGUGUAAAAAAUAAAAGACUAAGGUUUGGAAGAUGAAGAAUCUUAAAUGGUGAAAUGAAAAGUUGGAAAAUAUCGAGACGAACAACCAACCAGUUCAAAAGGUUCAAUGUCCAACUAAUGUGAGUGCCAAAAAGGGUAAACAGAAAUGAAUUAAAGGAAAAUAUAAACUAAAAAAAUGAGAAUUUGCUAGAAUAAAAAAGAGAUACAAGCCUUAAAAUGAAAGGGACCCCUAAGAGGCAAGUAUCCUUAGAUAGUAAGUGUAACAUUUCAGGGAACUGAGGAUUUUAAAACAUGUUAUGAAAGGAGGGAUGGGGAGGGGGUAGGAACAGAGGCAAGGAGAAACAUAAACUGGCAGAUUUCCCAGUAGCAACCCUGACCCCCUUUGUAGAUGAUAAUCGAGUUAAGAGCUAUCAGUACAUUUUCUUGUCCAGAUUCCCAUUGUUCUAGUUUUAUUGUUUUUGGUUUGCAGUCCCUGCCUGUUACGGACUGAACUGUGAGCCCUCAAACUUCAUCAUACGAACUCCUAAGCCCCAAGCCGGAUCAGGACACCGGGGUCCGGCUUCCAUCUCACACUAAUAUGUCACACAAGCCACUUCACAGCUUUUUUUAAAUAGUCCCUCAGGUCCCUCCUGGCUUAUUGCUUCUUGAGCGUGUUGCCCUAACAAACAGCUGAGAAGAAGAGAACUAGAGGAGCUGGGGUCUUCAUUAGAUUUUUCUAGAAAUGACAGGGUUUUGUAAGAAACUGAAACUAAUAGGAUUCUAGUUUUACCUUAAGAGGUCAGAAAGCAUUUUGAAAAGCAAUUUUAAAUUUACUUCUAGAAAUUCUAAGUCAAAAUGGCAGAUGACAAAGGGAGAAGUUGCAAAGCACACAGUAAGAAAAAAAAGUCUUAACUGAGUAAUUGUACAAAAUAGGUGCUAGAGGAUGUUGAACAAAAAUGAUGGAAUAGGAAAAGUUAAUUCUUCUGACCUUUUACAAAGUCUUAUUUACAAUUAGAUUAGCUACUGUAAAUUUCAUUUCUAUGUACUAAUUUUUGUUAACUGCAUACAAAGUAUGACCAUGAAGAUAUACAGGUAAAACCUAAACAAAAAAGCUUAUCAAAGGAUGAUGAGUGACUAGAUUUUCCCAGCAAACUUUAAAAUUUUAUUUUCCUUCUGGUAAACUCUCCUAAUAUUUCACAGGAAAAGAAUUAUCAGUAAACGAAAGAAACCAUUCAA